rnacentral:rRNA from 1 species
CAUUCGGUGGAUGGCUCGGCUCGGGCGCCUAGGAAGGGCGCGGCAAGCGGCGAUAUGCCCGGGGUAGGCGCAAGCAGCCUCUGAUCCCGGGAUUCCCGAAUGGGACUUCCUGCCCGUUAGGGCGUUCCCGCCUAAAAAGUGGGAACGGGAACUCUCCGAACGGAAGCAUCUUAGUAGGAGAAGGAAGAGAAAUCAAAAGAGAUUCCCUGAGUAGGGGCGACCGAAAGGGGAAUAGCCCAAACCAAAUCUGCCGGUGAUAAGCCGGUGGAGAUGUGGUGUUAUGCUUCUUGCCUGCGGGUUCGACUCGCGACCUUCCUAGCUCAUCUAGCCGAACUCCUCUGGAAUGAGGGACCAUGGAGGGUGAUAGUCCCGUAGGUUAAAGAUGAGUGGAAGGUGGCAAGAAGCAGAGUACCAUCCCCUGAUUUGGGGGUGGGAAGUUAGGGGACACGUGCCUCUAAGGCUAAAUACGUCCCGAGACCGAUAGCGAACUAAGUACUGUGAAGGAAAGCUGAAAAGAACCCCGGAAGGGGAGUGAAAAGAGCCUGAAACCGAAUGGUUACACAGGGCAGAGCUCGAAAGAGAUGAGCUCUUCCAAAGGAGGGGGACGCAAGUCCCUAGUACGAGGAAGGGUGAUCGGGGUUCUGCUUUUCGUCUUGAAACACGGGCCGGGGAGCUCAUAUCAGUGGCGAGCCUAAGAGGGUAAACCUCGAAGGCAUAGGGAAACCGAGUGCUCGCAACUCAGGCAACUGAGUGAGGAGCAGGGUCUGUCAGGGCCUGAAGUCACUGGUAUGAGGCUAGAAACCGGGCGAUCUAGACCAGGGCAGGCUGAAGCCGGGGGAAACUCCGGUGGAGGGCCGAAUGGGGGUUCUGACGUGCAAUUCGUUCCCUUGACCUUGGUCUAGGGGCAAAAGACCAAUCUAGCCCGGUGAUAUCUAGUUCCUCCCGAAAUGCGCCCUAGCGCAGCCUCUCUGGAGGUGGCUUGCGGGGUAGAGAGACUGAUUGGGGGUUGGUAGCGAAAGCUACCGAUUUCCAGUCAAACUCCGAACCUGCGGGCGCCUGAGAAGGAGGGAGUGGAUCACUCAGCGUAAGGUCGAGUGGUAAGAGGGGAACAACCCCAACUCGGGUUAAGGUCCCUAAGUACUGGCUAAGUGCAAACUGAAAAGCGUCUCAAGCCCUAGACAGCGGGUAGGUGGGCCCAGCAGCAGCCAUCCUCUAAGGAGUGCGUAACAGCUCACCCGCCGAGGCUUGAGGCCUUUAAGACUGGUCGGGGCUAAAGCCAGUCACCGAGACCCGAGGGGUGGGACUCAAUGAGUCUCACCAGGUAGGGAGGCGCCGUGAUAGGUGAGAAGGUGGGUCGAGAGAUCCACUGGACCUUUCACGGGUGCAGAUCCCGGCGGCAGUAAUAGCGAAAGGGAGUGAGAAUCUCCCUCGCCGAAAGGGCAAGGGUUUCCCGGCAAUGGUCGUCAGCCGGGAGUGAGCCGGUCCUAAGGUGAGGCCUAACUGGUACUCACCGAAAGGGAAAGGAGUUAAUAUUCUCCUGCCUCGGAGGUAGGUGCGGUAACGCAUGCUAGACUCCUGACGGAUCGAGGUAGGGAGAAUGAGGCCACCGCCUCAUCCAAGUACUUAAGUCCCUGGAGAGCCGUAAUGGUGAGAAGGGGACGAAGGUGCGAUGGGCUUUCCGUAUGGAGAGUUCUCCUGAUCCUUGGUUCCCAUGAAAAGGGAGUCUAGAACGAUCCUCCGAGUCCGUACCCAGAACCGACACAGGUGCCCCUAGGUGAGAAGCCUAAGGCGUCUGGGGGUUAACUCAGUCUAGGGAACUCGGCAAAAUGGUCCUGUACCUUCGGAAGAAGGGAUGCCUACCAUUGUAGUAACCCUGCAAUGGUAGGUCGCAGUGACCAGGGGGAUCUGACUGUUUAAUAAAAACAUAGGUCCUCGCUAGCCCGUAAGGGUGAGAACGGGGGCUAAAUCCUGGCCACUGGCGGUCGGUUAAACUCGGGCUCAACCGAGCGAAGCCCCGCUGAAGGCCGGGGGUAACUCUGACCCUCUCAAGGUAGCCAAAUGCCUUGCCGGGCAAGUUCCGGCGUGCAUGAAUGGAUCAACGUGAUCCCCACUGUCCCAGACUGGGGCCCCAUGAACGCCCAGAGUGGGUUCACAGUCCCGCAACCUCCAACACCGAGAGAAGACCCCGUGGAGCUUAACUGCAGCCUGGCGCUGGUUCCCGGGCGUCUAUGCGUAGAGUAAGUGGGAGGCGUCGAAGCCAUCCCUCUGGGGAUGGUGGAGCCGAAAGUGAAACACCACUCAUAGAUGCUCGGGAACCUAACCCCGAAAGGGGAACAACGUCAGGUGGGCAGUUCGGCUGGGGCGGCACUCCCGCGAAAAGAUAACACGGGAGCCCAAAGGUCGGCUCAGGUGGUACAGAACGCCGCCGUAGAGUGCAAGGGCAAAAGCCGGCCUGACGAGACCCUUCAAAGUACGGGGUCUCGACGCGAAAGCGCGGCCUAGCGAACGCUCAUGCCCCCACACGUGGGGGCUGGGCAUGUCAGAAAAGUUACCCCGGGGAUAACAGGGUCGUCGCGGGCGAGAGCUCCCAUCGACCCCGCGGUUUGCUACAUCGAUGUCGGCUCUUCCCACCCUGGGGGUGCAGCUGCCCCCAAGGGUAGGGCUGCCCGCCCGUUAAAGGGGAACGUGAGCUGGGUUUAGACCGUCGCGAGACAGGUCGGACUCUAAGGGUUGGAGGUGCAGGUCGCCUGUGGGGAAGGUACUCCUAGUACGAGAGGAACAGGGUACCAGGGCCUCUAGUCUACCGGUUGUCCGGUAGGGCAAUGCCGGGCAGCCACGCCCUAAGGGGUAAUCGCUGAAAGCAUCUAAGCGAGAACCCCUCCCCGAAAAGAGGCGGCC